rnacentral:rRNA from 1 species
GACGAACGCUGGCGGCGUGCUUAACACAUGCCAGUCGAACGGAAAGGCCCUGCUUUUGUGGGGUGCUCGAGUGGCGAACGGGUGAGUAACACGUGAGUAACCUGCCCUUGACUUUGGGAUAACUUCAGGAAACUGGGGCUAAUACCGGAUAGGAGCUCCUGCUGCAUGGUGGGGGUUGGAAAGUUUCGGCGGUUGGGGAUGGACUCGCGGCUUAUCAGCUUGUUGGUGGGGUAGUGGCUUACCAAGGCUUUGACGGGUAGCCGGCCUGAGAGGGUGACCGGCCACAUUGGGACUGAGAUACGGCCCAGACUCCUACGGGAGGCAGCAGUGGGGAAUAUUGCACAAUGGGCGGAAGCCUGAUGCAGCAACGCCGCGUGCGGGAUGACGGCCUUCGGGUUGUAAACCGCUUUCGCCUGUGACGAAGCGUGAGUGGCGGUAAUGGGUAAAGAAGCACCAGCUAACUACGUG